AAUUUGUUGUACACUCUUAAUUGCUCCCAUGCCCCUCCAGCUUCCAUCUUCCAUUGGGCACUGGAUUUCUCUUUGUCGGAGUUGUACAGCUGAAAAAACUCAGAACUGAAUUUCCAAUUGCAGCUUCUCCAUUUGAUAACUGAUCUUCACGCAAACUCCUCCAUCUUUCAUCGACUGUUAUGUACAGAAAUCUCUUCGUCAGAGCCACACGAGCGGAAUUUUAGAUGCCCUCUAUUAUGCUUGAACCUUCUUGCCUCUAUUCCCCUAUAAAUUCUCCCCAUACGACCUUCAUUUCAGUCAAAUGUUGAAGCCUCAACCAGCAAUCACUUCCACGAAGAAAGAGUAUCAAAAUUUCCUUUGCCCACCAGAUACAUUUGCCAGGAGACUAUUGUGCUACAUUGUGGGCAAGGGCAGUUGUAAUGCAUCUUGGCAUGGAGGAGGGGACGGGACGACAAAUUAAUGGUUGGUGAUCUUUAUUGUGUUUGCAUUGAGCAUUAGCUGCAAAGGUUGGAUUUUGUGUCCGCGGUUGACCGUGGGUUGUAUGAAAUCUGCUAUUCGGGGGGAUAGGCCUUGCCGAUUUUGGUACUUGCAAGUCAGAUUUAAGGUGGUCCACCCUUGCAAACAUGUUGGGCGAGAAUGUACUCCAGCGUUAAAAGGACAUUUGACAUUGUGGAAUAGUUUAUUCAUCUUGUUAAUGUGAUGAAGCAUGAGAUUUGUGAUGGAGAGUUGAGCUUAGAGGCAAAGCCUGCUACAAGUUUUGUAUAUAGGGAAAACUAUCAUGGUUCUUUAAUCGACAAAAAACUAACUUCAUAUAAUACUUGUAAAGUUUUUUUGUUGUUUAGGUUUGUUUUGUUAGUUUUUUUUUUUUUUUAAAUAUAGUAAGCUAAC